rnacentral:rRNA from 1 species
UGGGGAAUCUUCCGCAAUGGACGAAAGUCUGACGGAGCAACGCCGCGUGAGUGAAGAAGGUUUUCGGAUCGUAAAACUCUGUCUUUUGGGGCGAACGUGAGUAUGGUGAACAAUCAUAGUCAGUGACGGUACCAAAGGAGGAAGCCACGGCUAACUACGUGCCAGCAGCCGCGGUAAUACGUAGGUGGCAAGCGUUGUCCGGAAUUAUUGGGCGUAAAGAGCGCGUAGGCGGGAUAGUCAGUCUGUUGUAAAGUGCGGGGCUCAACCCCGUGAUGGCAAUGGAAACAGCUAUUCUUGAGUGCAGGAGAGGAAAGUGGAAUUCCCAGUGUAGCGGUGAAAUGCGUAGAUAUUGGGAGGAACACCAGUGGCGAAGGCGACUUUCUGGACUGUGUCUGACGCUGAGGCGCGAAAGCCAGGGGAGCGAACGGGAUUAGAUACCCCGGUAGUCCUGGCCGUAAACGAUGGGUACUAGGUGUGGGAGGUAUCGACCCCUUCCGUGCCGGAGUUAACGCAAUAAGUACCCCGCCUGGGGAGUACGGUCGCAAGACUGAAACUUAAAUGAAUUGACGGGGUCAUAGCUGUUU